rnacentral:rRNA from 1 species
AAAACAUGUCUUCUCGUUUAUAUUUAUAUGUGAAGUCUGGCCUGCCCAGUGAAAUAGUUUUUAACGGCCGCGGUAUUUUGACCGUGCAAAGGUAGCAUAAUCAUUAGUCUUUUAAUAGGAGACUGGUAUGAAGGGUUUGACGUAAUAUUAUCUGUCUCAUUUUUAUUUAUUAUAAUUUAAUUUUUGAGUCAAAAAGCUCAAAUGUUGUUGGAAGACGAGAAGACCCUAUAGAGCUUUACUACUUAUUUUAGAAUUAUUUUUUAGUUUAUUAUUUAUUUUGUAAACUGAGUUGUUUUGUUGGGGUGACAACAGAAUAAAUAAAACUUCUGUUAUUUAUAUUUCAUUAAUUUAUGUAUUAUUUGAUCCAUUAUUUAUGAUUAUUAGAAUAAGUUACCUUAGGGAUAACAGCGUAAUCUUCUUUUGAAGUUCAAAUUUGCAAGAAGGAUUGCGACCUCGAUGUUGGAUUAAGAUUAUGACCAGGUGUAGUUGUUUGGUAAAUAGGUCUGUUCGACCUUUAAAUUCUU